CAACAUUACGAGAAAGAUGGCGAACGGAGAGCAAGGUCUCGAAGAGCACUCUGGAUGAAGAGCAGAAACAAAGUCUUCUGGGAGAGAGAUGUUUUAACCGUAUUUGAUGACGAGGACUGGAAACCGAACUUUCGCAUGACUCGAGGAUCUUUCCACAAGUUGUGUGGAAUUAUGAAAGGAGUCAUGAAGCCCGCGGAGGUGACUGUUCGAGCACCAAUACCGCUGUCCUCCAAGGCGUAGUGGACGACAUGUAUUGGUAAGUUUGGUCCAAAUACAUUUAGUUGUCUGCACUGUGCAACGUGAAUGCUUACUGAUAUGUUCAAUUCACCGCGACCUCAGGCCUGCGUGUGCGUGUUUGUGUGUGUGUCCUGACCAAAAGUAAGUCGUACUCUGAAGACAUAUUAAUGUAUGGGUAAAAUCAAUAAGAUCAAUAAAUGAGUGAAGCUACUGAAAGUUAUUCAUGCAGAAACUAGUGGAGCUACCACCAAGCUAUUGAGAUUUCUAGGUAUGUUACAAGCUUAAAGUAGUAUGAUGUUUUAAAGAGGCUUUAUUAGGUUUUUAUGUAUAUUAUGUUUUAUUUAUGCUGAGCCAUUUAGUAAGCAAGUCCAACACUGGUAACCAUUUCUGUUUCUCCUCCCAGGAACCAAGAGAAAUCGAUGGCGUCUCAAUCGGUCACUUCCUGUUGGUAGAUCCAGCGUAUCCUCUCAUGGACUGGAUCAUGAAAGGCUACACCCAUUCCCCAAACAUCACCCCUGAGCAAGAGUCCUUCAAUGUCUACUUAAGCUCUGCAAGGACCACGGUGGAGAUUGCGUUUGGGAGACUGAAGUCACGCUGGAGAGAGCGUAGUGACUUCCACUUUACAUUCACCUCUAAAGUGAUUGCUACCUGUUGUGCAUUGCACAAUUUCUGUGAGAAUGAGAAGGAAGUUGUGAAUCCCAACCGGUCAGUGGAAGCGGCUACACUUGCAUCGAACCUGCCACAGCCAGGUGGUCGUGCCAACAAUCACGCAGACAACACAAAUGGACAGAGGAUCAGAGCCGACCUCACAGAUUACCUGAGUGCAAACUUCCCCCUGCGCUGACCAUACCUUUAGACGUCUUCAUUACAUAAUUGCCAGUUUGUCAUAGGUUUGUAAAUACAAUUCUUGUACAGUUCAUGUGUGUUUCAUUCCACAAAUAAAGAAACUCACAGAAGUUUUA